AGUGAACGCUGGCGGUAGGCCUAACACAUGCAAGUCGAACGGCAGCACAGUAAGAGCUUGCUCUUACGGGUGGCGAGUGGCGGACGGGUGAGGAAUACAUCGGAAUCUACUUUUUCGUGGGGGAUAACGUAGGGAAACUUACGCUAAUACCGCAUACGACCUACGGGUGAAAGCAGGGGAUCUUCGUACCUUUCGCGAUUGAAUGAGCCGAUUUCGGAUUAGCUAGUUGGCGGGGUAAAGGCCCACCAAGGCGACGAUCCGCAGCUGGUCUGAGAGGAUGAUCAGCCACACUGGAGCUGAGACACGGUCCAGACGCCUACGGGAGGCAGCAGUGGGGAAUAUUGGACAAUGGGCGGAAGCCUGAUCCAGCCAUACCGCGUGGGUGAAGAAGGCCUUCGGGUUGUAAAGCCCUUUUGUUGGGAAAGAAAAGCAGCAGGUUAAUACCACGCUGUUCUGACGGUACCCAAAGAAUAAGCACCGGCUAACUUCGUG
rnacentral:rRNA from 1 species